GUUUGACUGCGGCGUUGGUGACUGCCAAUAUCGUUUUUUGAUCUAUAACUUAAAACAACGGGAGCCAAAUCCAUUGGUGGCGGUACACUGGUCUUAGUUGCCAGAAACUUUAAGCCGAUGCCAGCGUUCCCACCUGGUUCAUCCCAGGUCAUAAACUGCGGUAAAACGGCGUUGUGGUUAACCU
rfam:Synechococcus sp. PCC 6312, complete genome.